rnacentral:rRNA from 1 species
GACGAACGCUGGCGGCGUGCUUAACACAUGCAAGUCGAACGAAGAGCGACGGAAGCUUGCUUCUAUCACUCUUAGUGGCGAACGGGUGAGUAACGCGUAAUCAACCUGCCCUUCAGAGGGGGACAACAGUUGGAAACGACUGCUAAUACCGCAUACGAUCUAAUCUCGGCAUCGAGGAUGGAUGAAAGGUGGCCUCUACAUGUAAGCUAUCACUGAAGGAGGGGAUUGCGUCUGAUUAGCUAGUUGGAGGGGUAACGGCCCACCAAGGCGAUGAUCAGUAGCCGGUCUGAGAGGAUGAACGGCCACAUUGGGACUGAGACACGGCCCAGACUCCUACGGGAGGCAGCAGUGGGGAAUCUUCUGCAAUGGACGAAAGUCUGACGGAGCAACGCCGCGUGAGUGAUGACGGCCUUCGGGUUGUAAAGCUCUGUUAAUCGGGACGAAAGGCCUUCUUGCGAAUAGUGAGAAGGAUUGACGGUACCGGAAUAGAAAGCCACGGCUAACUACGUG